CCGACGGUGAGGGAUGAAAGCUGGGGAGCAAACCGGAUUAGAUACCCGGGUAGUCCCAGCUGUAAACGAUGCGCGUUAGGUGUGUCAGUGACCACGUGUCACUGAUGUGCCGAAGGGAAACCGUGAAACGCGCCGCCUGGGGAGUACGGUCGCAAGGCUGAAACUUAAAGGAAUUGGCGGGGAGCACCUCAACGGGUGGAGCCUGCGGUUUAAUCGGACUCAACGCCGGAAAUCUCACCGGAUAAGA
rnacentral:rRNA from 1 species